AUUGAACGCUAGCGGGAGGCCUAACACAUGCAAGCCGAGCGGUAUUGUUUCUUCGGAAAUGAGAGAGCGGCGUACGGGUGCGUAACACGUGUGCAACCUGCCCUUAUCUGGGGGAUAGCCUUUCGAAAGGAAGAUUAAUACUCCAUAAUAUAUUGAACGGCAUCGUUUAAUAUUGAAAGCUCCGGCGGAUAGAGAUGGGCACGCGCAAGAUUAGCUAGUUGGUGAGGUAACGGCUCACCAAGGCGAUGAUCUUUAGGGGGCCUGAAAGGGUGAUCCCCCACACUGGUACUGAGACACGGACCAGACUCCUACGGGAGGCAGCAGUGAGGAAUAUUGGUCAAUGGGUGCAAGCCUGAACCAGCCAUCCCGCGUGAAGGACGACUGCCCUAUGGGUUGUAAACUUCUUUUGUAUAGGGAUAAACCUACCCUCGAGAGGGUAGCUGAAGGUACUAUACGAAUAAGCACCGGCUAACUCCGUGCCAGCAGCCGCGGUAA
rnacentral:rRNA from 1 species